rnacentral:rRNA from 1 species
GCCCGCGGUAUCCUAACCGUGCAAAGGUAGCGUAAUCACUUGUCCUCUAAAUAAGGACCAGUAUGAACGGCCCAAUGAGGAUUACCUUGUCUCUCAUAAUAAGUCUACGAAACUGAUCUCCCAGUACAAAAGCUGGGCUAUACCCACAAGACGAGAAGACCCUGUGGAGCUUAACUGUUUUCAGUUGGGGCGACUUCGGAGACAAACAAAACCUCCAAAUCGACCCAAUAAAAUUGACCAAUGAACCAAGUUACCCCAGGGAUAACAGCGCAAUCCCCUUUUAGAGUCCCUAUCGCCAAGGGGGUUUACGACCUCGAUGUUGGAUCCGGAUAUCCCAAUAGUGCAGCCGCUAUUAAUGGUUCGUUUGUUCAACGAUUAAUUAUCCCACGUGAUCU